AUUGAACGCUGGCGGCAUGCCUUACACAUGCAAGUCGAACGGUAACAGGUCUUCGGAUGCUGCCGAGUGGCGAACGGGUGAGUAAUACAUCGGAACGUGCCCGAUCGUGGGGGAUAACGAGGCGAAAGCUUUGCUAAUACCGCAUACGAUCUACGGAUGAAAGCGGGGGAUCUUCGGACCUCGCGCGGACGGAGCGGCCGAUGGCAGAUUAGGUAGUUGGUGGGAUAAAAGCUUACCAAGCCGACGAUCUGUAGCUGGUCUGAGAGGAUGAUCAGCCACACUGGGACUGAGACACGGCCCAGACUCCUACGGGAGGCAGCAGUGGGGAAUUUUGGACAAUGGGCGAAAGCCUGAUCCAGCCAUGCCGCGUGCAGGAUGAAGGCCUUUGGGUUGUAAACUGCUUUUGUACGGAACGAAAAGCCUCUUUCUAAUAAAGAGGGGUCAUGACGGUACCGUAAGAAUAAGCACCGGCUAACUACGUG
rnacentral:rRNA from 1 species